rnacentral:lncRNA from 1 species
UUCUUUUUCUUUUGAUUUUCUAAGAUUUUGCAUGAGUUUUCUUUUUCCAUGGCUAUGUGGUCUGGAAACCGAAGAAGAUGACCUCUUCUUUCUUUCCAGAGUGGCCUUUCAUCCCCAAACCAUCCCUAGAUCAUGUCAUUUUCACCCUAGUCCAAAUCCCAAUAUUCUUUUACUGGGAAUAUUCCUUUUUUAUUAAAGGAAUAAUCGUUUUUGCCCUAGGUUGUGAAGCAACCUAUAUUUCCAUCACUCCUAAAAUUCCCAAAUAAUUCUCAUAAAUUGUUUGGGUCAUAUCUUCCUCAAAUAUGGCAAAAUAUUUCAUUGGCCAUGUUUCCCAUCAUGCUCAAUUAAUUCAUUUCCUAUUCUGUCCUAAAUGGCACACUAUGAAGCAAGUGCCAUUUACCUUUGCCCAGUUGACCCCAAACUGUUUGGACACAUUUUCAUGUCCAUAUCAUUGCCUCAUGCGAAAAUUCAACUGAAUUUGCCUUGUUAAUAUUCCUGAGCAUUUUUUCAAAGUUCCUGUCUUAGGGAAUGCAUUGUGAAGGAAGUACUAGCUAGGUUAACCCAAUUGAGUUGAAAUUUUGCAUGUUCCUUUACAUCAUCAAAUCAAAGCCCUCCUCAAGAUUUGAGCUCAUUCAAUGCAUCCAUGUGAGCACAGCUUCAAAUCUUUGGUUCUGUUCAAAUUUUUAGUUUGUGAAGAAAGUAUAUUUUACCUUGCUCAAUUAUGGCUGAAAAUUUUCUAGGACCUUCUCCUACCCAUAUAACUAUCUCUACCAAAUUUGGGAAUAUUUCAUCUAGCCAUUUUCCCUGAGGGAUUUUCUCAAGUUUCUGCCCAGAGGGGUGUUGUAUGAAGGAAGUACCAUUUUGGCUUGGCCAAAUGGUAUGAAAGUUUUAUGGCACACUCGUAUGCCCAAAUUAUCUUGCCAUGUUCAUUUUUAGCUCAAGUGGUUACUCCUAGUGAGUGCCACUUCAUCAUUUUGAUUCUGGACCAGUUUAUGUAUUUGCAAAGCAAGUGUAUUAAAUACUUGUCCAAAGACCACCAAAAUGCACAGGACUGUAGUUCUUUCUAACCUAAACUCCCCAGACAACCCGUUUGGACCAUAGCAUUCUUAUGGUGAUCACUGCAUCUUGAUUAAGUUUGAUGCAGCAACAUUCAGAGCUCAAUUCCCAUAUAACCGCUGCAUGUUUCUUCGAGUUACUCACUCAGUCGAAACGUCCCCUAGAAGAACUCUCCCCUAGACAACAAUUUCCAGCCAUUUGGCUCUUCUUGAUGCCAGCUCACGCGGUGACCACGGGGCAGACGUGCCAAACCGACACGCUCUGGAAACCGUGGCGCUGUGCUCUUCCGUUCUCUCCUCGUCUCAACUCAAAGACAUGUCUAGUAGCCUCCUCGUGAUCGACCGCGUCGCCCUGACCUCACUCCCCCUCCGUUGGCUUCCUCGUUGGCGCUUGUCGCCGCGCGCCCACGGGCGCAUAGUGCCGACAGGGCAUUAAUGGCGCCCCGACCGCUUCCUCCCCGUGCCCAUUGGCCCUAUCUACCCCCGUGAGCCCUCCUCUAUUGCUCCUCGUCGCCGUCCGCCGAGCUCGCUGGCAUGCACACGCGUACACGAACAUGCGUGAGCCGCGGCCACACGUCCAUGGCCACGGCCUCGAUGCCGCGCCUAUUUAAGGCCUCCCCCGAGCCAUUCGACCUCACUAGCCUCCUCACCGAUCUCCUCUACGCCUCCCCAACCACUCGCUUGAGCUUCUGGAGCUCUCCUCGACCCCCAUGGCUGCAGUGCCUCUCGCCGAAGCCCGGCUAAAUUCACGGCGGCCAGGCACUCUCCCCUCCUCCUCUCCCCACCAGUAGAUCCACCCAAGCAUGCUGAGCCUCCCCACCCAUUAGCCUCAUCCCCGGAGCGGCCGUAGCCCCGUGCUCAACUCCGGCUGGAAUCGCCGUCCGCCUCGGCCAAGACUGCACUCUCUCCGAUGCCCCUCGGUGUGCGUGAAGGGUCCAGGCAGGAGUGCCUCAUCUUCCCGAGCUUGUCGGUGUGCGGAGCGUCGCCGGGGGAGGACCAGAUCGCUAGGACGGCCGACCGCACCGUGCGCCUCUGCUCUGCCUCGCGGACGAGCGCGAGGUUGAAGGCGAUGACCGGCCGAGCAGGACCCACUAGCACGCAGGACCCCCUCGUCAGCCGCCCGACGUUGACUCCAUCCUGCCCACGUGGAUAAGUGGCGGGCCCCACCUGUAAGUCUCUCGUGUUGACCUAGUGGCCCCGCUGACCGUUUUUAGUGAAGGCAUUUUUUGGAAAUACGCUUUCCUUUGAAGAAAACACGUUCUGUUUCUCCUUCGGCUUAAAUUACGUUUUCACUUUCUGAAGACGUAAUCUGAGAAAUGUGCUUUCUGAUUUUCCAGCCAUGGGCCUGCUUGUAGAGUUAUUUUUACAGAUUGGUCCCUAAACUUUUCGGGCUAUAACUUUUUGCUCGAGACUCCGAUUGAGGUGAAUCCAACGCCCACAUCUUCGUAUCUUCGAGCCCAAACUUUUGGUAUCAUUUUUACUAUGGUUUGACAUAAUGGAAAUGACAAUUUUGCCCUUGCCCGUAAACAACCCCUCCGAGAGAGAACUGUUUCCGGCGAAUCUUUCCGCGAUCGUUCCACACUCCUCCCCGGUGCAUUCUUCAUCCCCAGGCAAGCCACAACACCCACUUGCAUGAUGGCCAUGCAGUAGUCAUGGUUUCAACUUGAAUAUUUAAUAAAUGUCUGCUUGUUUUAAUUCGGUUAUCGUUGUUUUGGUGAUGCUUAUGGAUUUGUGUUCACUUUCAUGCUAUGUUUUUAUGCACAUGGUUAUCAUGUAUUCUUGCUAGUAAUAUUCUGGUAUGACAUGAUUGGUAGUAGUACAUGUUGGUGUUGGUCAUGUUCUUCGGUGCAUGACUAUUGUCUGCUACCGAGUAUAGUGAAUAUGCAUGUUCCUUUGCAUCUAGCUGGUUACAUGAUUACUUGGUAGUUUUAUCGUUAUAUUCUGGCAUAGUAUUUAUUUCCUAUGCUAGUGGUUAUGCUAUGCUUAUCUGUAGUGUUAUACUUGUGUUAUUCAUACUCGUCCGUAUGCCAUGCUCAGUUGGAUAUGAUUUAUUGUUGUUCAUAUGCUUGAUGAUUAUGUUGUACAUCCAUGCUCAUGUUGAUAUCAUGCAUGACAAUUGCAUCAUGUUAUUUUAUCAUGACCCAACAUAUUGCAUUCAAGUUUAACCAGAUUAAAUUGUACUUGAACUACUGCUGGCUGAGUCAUGGUGCCACCAUAUCGAGCUGACUAGUGCAACCACAUUUGCCUUUAUGGGGAGGUCCUAACUGGGUCUAUUGUCAUGCCUUUCGCCGGUGCCUCCCACGAGGGAAGGUUAUGUGCGGGCGCUACCUUGACCGGGUAGGACGGCAUAAGCCUUGUGUGCCCGAGUUGUUUUGCGCGCUUUUGCCCCUAUUUGGGACUGUUUAUGUUUUGCCACGACGGUGGUCGUUGAUGCCUUUGGUAGGCAUAGGGCCACCCAUGACUUAGCCCAAAUGGGAGUUGGUCGAAGUGGCCGGGAGACUGUCAUGGCCGUAGGACGGUUUUGUCGUAACACUGUUGGUCCACCCGAAUGGGAGUGCGAGGCCAUGGGCUCUGUGGUGUGGGUACAGUGCGCUACCUCUGCAGAGUGUCUAUUAAAUCUAUCGAUAGCCGCGCCCGUGGAUAAGGACCCAGUUCGUAGUUGGUCACACUAUGGGUCAACAGUAAUAAUAAUAAUAAUAAUAAUAAUAAUGUGCUUAAUAACAACCCUGGUUCGAUGAUGAGAAAGAGAUUGGUUGUGAUCGAGUGAGGAUCACCGUGGUAUCGAGGAUACCGAGUUGUUUGAUAUUUGUGGUACUAUUCGAGAGUCAAGGGUAAAGAUCAAGCUCGUUGUGGUCAUGUAAUGAUUACUACGGUAUUAUUAAUACCAAGCUUGAUUGGAUCCUGAGAUGAUCGUGUGAUGUCCGUGAUGGUUACGAGGUAACCCGAACAUAGUAAGUUGGUGCAUGAUAACGUCAUCAUGUUGCAUCGAUAGUGUCAUCUUGUUUAUAUGUUCAUGCCAUGCUCGUAUUGUUCUAGUUGUAUCAUGUUAUUCAUGCCAUGUUGUUCCGAUAGUAUCAUGUUAAUCCUUGUUAACCUGUAAUUGCCAUGAUGUUGUCUGUCUUGAUUGCUUUGGUUGCUGUGAGCUUGCAAGUACAUUCAAUGUACUGACCUGGCGUGUCAUGCCAGUUUGCAAGUCAUGCCGGAUUUGAUUGCUUGUUUGCCGUGGAGUCCUCGUUUGCGAGCUAGGAUAAGCGUUCCAGCCAGAAUCCCUGCAGAGUGGAGUUCAUCACCGUCGUUGCUGUUCCGCUGCCAGUAGUUAUUCCGCUACUUCGUGUUGUUCUGCUGCUUGCAUGGAGCAACCGUGGUAGGCGUAGUGACAUCGUGCCGAUGUAAUCCCUUUGUACCCAUAUAUUUUGUAAUAAAGAGCUGAUUUGUUCUAUGCUAAGAAGUGUUGUAUUCCAGAAGACAUCUCCUCGAUCUCUUGGCUGGAAUACGGGGCAUUCCGGUUUCUCUGAGCCGGGGUGCCACAACACUUGGUAUCAAAGCAGGUCUGGUUGUAGGACGCCCUAGCCCGCGCGAAUGUUAGAAUGCGGUAUUAUAGAGCCCAGUUGGUUUGUUGCACUUGAUUGUUGCAUUUGUUUGUCGCAUAGCAUGCAUAUAGACUUAUUAUCUUUUCACUAACGGUUGAAAUGGUGAGUGUAGGUGGCAUCGGCUUCGAUCCACUACUUGCAUCCUCCUUCUUAGCAUACCUGCUCCUUAGUGUUCGGCACCACCUCUGUCCCAGCAGAGUGAUGCCCUGGUACUGAGUGUUCCAGACACCAUUUGCAGGAGUUAUGCUCAGAUAUCGCGUCUAUAUCUUUCUGCCAUCCACCCAUAUUGUUUCGGUGAUAGAAUUGUCUCUAUCCUGAAUCGUGCUAUCCAUCUCGUCCCUUUGGCAACCAUUACUGAUCUUUGUUAUCAGAAAAGGGCAAUGCCAGCAAGCCUUGAUUUUCCUCUGCUAUCCUACCCUGUCAUUCCAUUCUUUGGACGUGUACGAUUCCCUUUCGUACACUUGAUGAUGAUGUGGUCGUGACCUUUGUGUCUCGCUACAUGAUCACCCAGUCCGUCCUCGCCUCCUUAUCCAUCAAGUUGCAACCGGAGUUCAGCCAGUGCUUGGUUUAGCCUUGGUUAUACCAAUUCCUUCCACGCAUGGAUUUCAUUUUCGUGCACACCGCCACAGCAUAUUAGACCGUAAUACCAUAGUUUUCGUGAGAUUCUUGUGCUUAGGUGUGCAUGCAUAUUAUUGUUGUGAGUAGCAGUAAUAUGUGAUGUUGCUUGAUUAUAUUAUUAUUUGUAGGCUUUCUGUGCUUUUGUUCUCGUUGUUUCUUUUGCUUCUUUCUUUGGGCCUUCGGCGUUGCCAUAUCUUCCCCUUAUUAAAGUUGCUUGCCAACCAACACCGGAUCCGAAGAAUCAGCAAGGAAGUCAGAUAUACACCUCAGUGUGAUAAAGGACUAUGAAGAUUGACGACAACACUGAGCUCUGUACAAGUACCUGUGAACCUGGAAUAUGAUCCUGAUGAGCCCUUGUCUACUUUUCUUCUGUGACGGCACCACAGCUGUGUUGUGAGCUGUUUUUGGCCGUCCGGGGUGGAUGCCGGCUUUAUUUAUCUCUAUUCAACCACUGCCACGAGUUCUGAGUUGCUUUCCGGCCGUCUCGUACAGCUGUUGAGUUUGCUGAAAGUUUGCUUUUCAGCCGUCUUAGGGAACUGCCACAUUCUUCUUAUCAACAUGGUCUCAUGCUCUGAGCUGCUUUUCGGCUGUCUUGAGCCAUGGUUGAGGUACUUCAGUAAUGUCCCAGAUCUGAGUUGUAAAGACCGUUCUCGUGGCUACUGAUUUAUUUGCCGGUUUCUUGCAAGGGUUCGGAUGAUCAUUUCCCUAUGGUCAGAACUUGAGAAGUGAUGAGCCUGCCAUUUAAACGAUGUUACCAAGACAAGAGAUGAGGAUAAAAGUAUGCCUGUCGGAAUAUUGCACCCGACAGAACCUAUGGUCACACGAAGAAGCAAUAUGACCCUGCUCUUUUAGCAAAGGAUCCGGACCAAGAAAGCAGUAAUGAAGGAGCAAGACCGAUGAUGCAUGUACGAAAAGUGUUGUAUGUACCCCAUGGUGUAGAUACCCUGGACAGUCUGAGUCAGCAUCGAUCACCAUGAAUAUUCACCUAAGGGGUCUGCUCAAUUUUGGUAAGGACACCAUAUCCAGCCAACCCGCUCAGUCAACAAUAUGUGCUCAGAUUUGUCAGUAUCGAAUAUCUGGAUCUGUGAAGUCAGACCAAAGGUCAAUUCAACAGUUUGAUUCCAGUGACUAUGGUAAAGCAUCACACAUCCUACUAUCCCCAUGGAUAUACCGACAGAAUGAAUGAUCAGUAUGAGGAAUAACAGUCUCGAAGCAUGUGCCCUCAUUUAUGUGAAUCACUAAAGGAUAGCCUGUCUAGAACAAAAAAAUUCCGCCAGAGCCACCGUCAGUCAAGGAUGAGGAUAUUAUCAUAUAAGUUCAUACCCCUUAUGCUCGCCACGUCAGGCGACAAUCAAAUAUUUGGUAUGAAUCUGAGACUCAAGACAGUGGAGCCAGUCAGGAUGAUUCAGAAAUUCCUGCAAUAAGUCGGAAUCUGUCAGUAAAAUAGUUAUGCCUCAACUCACUGUUUGGAACGCAAAGUACCUGCAUUUAGUAGAGGAACCCAAUGCAAGGAGUAAGAGCUUCGGUGUUCAUCAGGAAAAAUCUAAUCACCAAUUCAUGGAAGUUUGUCAGUACAGCCACAGCAAUCGAAAAUCAGUCUCGGAUUUGUGAGACGGGCAUAUAUUCCAGUCAUGGUAACAAAUCCCACUCAGCUAAGUCAGCAGAUAUAGAAAAGAAUUGGAGCCAGUAUAAGCAUGAAAAUGUGAGGUAAGAUCUGUCAGGAUAUGGAUACACUGAAGCAAACCACCACAAAGGCAGUCAGGUAAGUGAGAUGAAGAAUUUAAUGGGAACAAUCAAUAAAGGAAUAAGGAAACCCGAGUUUGGAACGGUCUCCUUAAGUCAGUAUAUGCAUACUUGUUCCCUGAGCAACCAAAUCUCAAGGACGAGAUUUCUUUAAGGGGGGAAGAGUUGUCACAGCCUGAUUUUUGGCCCUUUCUAUUUCUUUUGAUUUUCUAAGAUUUUUGCUUGAGUUUUCUUUUUUCCGAGGCUAUGUGGUGUCGAAACUGAAGAAGAUGACCUCUUCUUUAUUUCCAGAGUGGCUUGUCAUCCCCAAACCAUCCCUAGAUCAUAUUAUUUUCACCCUAGUCCAAAUCCCAAUAUUAUUUUAUUGGGAAUAUUCCUUUUUUUAUUAAAGGAAUAAUCCUUUUUGCCCUAGGUUGUGAAGCAACCUAUGUUUCCAUCACUCCUAAAAUUCCCAAAUAAUUCUCAUAAAUUGUUUGGGUCAUAUCUUCCUCAAAUAUGGCAAAAUAUUUCAUUGGCCAUGUUUCCCAUCAUGCUCAAUUAAUUCAUUUCCUAUUCUGUCCUAAAUGGCACACUAUGAAGCAAGUGCCAUUUACCUUUGCCCAAUUGACCCCCAAACUUUUUGGACACCUUUUCAUGUCCAAAUCAUUGUCUCAUGCCAAAAUUCAACUCAAUUUGCAUUGUGAAUAUUCCUGAGCCAUUUUUCAAAUUUCAUGUCUGAGGGAAUGCAUUGUGAAGGAAGUACUAGCUAGGCUAACCCAAUUGAGUUGAAGUUUUGCAUGGUCCUUUACAUCAUCAAAUCAAAGCCCUCCUCAAGAUUUGAGCUCAUUCAAUGCAUCCAUGUGAGCACAGCUUCAAAUCUUUGGUUAUGUUCAAAUUUUCAGUUUGUGAAGCAAGUUUAUUUUACCUUGCUCAAUUAUGGUUACAUUUUUCCAGGACCUUCUCCUACCCAUAUAACCUAUCUCUACCAAAUUUGGGAAUAUUUCAUCUUGCCAUUUUCCCUCAGGAAGUUUCUUAAGUUUCUGUCCAGAGGGGUGUUGUAUGAAGGAAGUACCAUUUUGGCUUGGCCAAAUGGUAUGAAAGUUUUAUGGCACACUCAUAUGCCCAAGUUAUCUUGCCAUGUUCAUUUUCAGCUCAAGUGGUUACUCCUAGUGAGUGACACUUCAUCAUUUUGAUUCUGGACCAGUUUAUGCAUUUGCAAAGCAAGUGUAUUAAAUACUUGUCCAAAUCCCACCAAAAUGCAUAGGAAUGUAGAUCUUCCUAACCUAAACUCCCCAGACAACCCAUUUGGACCAUAGCAUUCUUACGGUGAUCACUGCAUCAUAAUUAAGGUUGAUGCAGCAACAUUCAGAGCUCAAUUCCCAUAUAACCGCUGCACGUUUCUUUGAGUUAGUCACUCAGUCGAAACCUCCCUUGGAAGAACUCUCCCCUAGACAACAAUUUCCGGCCAUUUGGCUCUUGUUGAUGCCAGCUCACGCAGUGACUGAGGGAGUCCUGGAUUAAGGGGUCCACGGGCGUCCGGACUAUGGUACGUGGGCCGGACUGAUGGGCUGUGAAGAUACAAGACCAAAGACUCUCUCCCGUGUCCGAAUGGGACUCUGCUUGGCGUGGAAGGCAAGCUUGGUGCCCUGAUAUGAAGAUUCCUUUCUCUGUAACCGACUUUGUACAACCCUAGUCCCCUCCGGUGUCUAUAUAAACCGGAGGGUUUAGUCCGUAGGACGAGAAUAAGUCAUACAUGCUAGACUUUUAGGGUUUUCGCCAUUACGAUCUCGAGGUAGAUCAACUCUUGUAAUACCCAUAUUCAUCAAGAUCAAUCAAGCAGGAAGUAGGGUAUUACCUCCAUAGAGAGGGCCCGAACCUGGG